CAGAUGUGCAGAAUACUAAGUAAUAUUUUUAAAUGUUAUAUUGAUGUGCAUAUGUACCUCUCCUACAAUCCUGAGAAGGAAAUAAAUGUUUGGUCCUGUUUUCCUUCCUUCUGCAUAUUUCUCCACCUGUAGUCUCACAGUCCAAGCUCCCUAAAAUAAAGUUUCCCCCUCAAAGCUUCCUCUUUUAUAAACAAAAUAGCUAGCAGUUAGUAAUAAAACCUGGGGAAAAUCAUUUCAG
rnacentral:lncRNA from 1 species